CCUUAGCCCUGAUAGUAGCGGUUACCCCACAGCAAGGGUUGGAGCGCAUGGGUUUUGGCGGUGGAGAGUUUUGGAGCGAGGAGUAGUAGCGGAUAGCAGGAAAUAGC
rnacentral:sRNA from 1 species